UACUGAACUAUUUUAUUUUGAGUACAGUUAACUGGUUUCAGUUUUCUUAUUUUUUUUCUCUGAAUCACGAUUAGGGUUUCUAUUUCAUUUCUCCAUCACAAUAUCCUAUUUUCGUAUUUCCUAUCUCCUUUAAAGGUUGCCGCCACUCUUGUCGAAAGACUCGCGGAAGGCUCACCACUCGAAGGCUUUGCCGCAUUCUGCCGCCGCCACUUUGCCAUUGCCACCCUUUGUCGUCGCCACCCUCUGCCGUCGCCGCACUCUACCAUCGCUGGAAAGAAAAGCAAAUCUGCAACCUAAAGGUACGUUUUUCCCUUACCCUUUCAAAAGAAAUUGAAAAACCUUGGUAUAGCAGCAUUGGAAGAACGAAGGAGAAGAAGGGGGAGCAAAACGACGCCGUUGAGGCGGGAGCCAGAGGAGGACGCACCUGAGUUCCCGAAGGAGUCGAUGGAGUUGCCGGCGGAGGAGAGGGCGAGGGCGGGAGGUCGUCGUCGAAGAGAGAGUAUUCGAGGAAGGACGUCGUGGACAGCGAGGGGGGUGGAUAAGAGGUCGGGGUAGCUGAGGGGGGUGUGGUCGAGGGAGAAGUUGGUGGAGGAGUUGUCGGUGACGAAGAUGGUUUUGGCGGCAAGAAGGGUAGGGAGGCGGGCGUAGCGGGGGAGGAAGAGGAGGUCGGAGAAGGGGAGACGCUAGGGGACAACGUGAUAGGGGAGUAGGAAGGGGAUCCAGCGGAGGACGAAGGUUGCGUGAGAUGAAUAGUGUGGCUUUGAACUAAAUCAGUUUUCUAAACUGUAUUAGUGUAACUGAACUAAAAUUAAGUUCAGUUCCUUUGAACUACUUUUUUAGUUCAAUUCAGUUUUUUUAAUUAUUAUAUAGUUAACUGUAAUUGGUUAUAAUACAGUUCAAAUAGUUCAGUUUGCUCACCCCUAAGCAUAAAACCUUUAUAAAUGUCAAUUUGCUUUACAUGAUUGAUAAUCAAUAUUUGUAAGCUUAAACAAAUGGGCACUGAAUUUGUAGGCAUUGCAUUUUUGAAAUGGUCGUGUCACUGUGCAAAAGUCGCACUGCUUCAUCACUUAAUUUGUUUGCCAAUACUCUUCGCCGAUUCUCUAUUGGUACAUUCGUUUCUCCUUUCUCCUUUAAUUCUCAGCAACAAGAACAUUAGCUUCGUAGUAUUUGUACAAAUGGUGCAAGAUGGAGAAAAUAUUGGAAAAAGUCUCCCCUUCUUUGGGUUUCUUUUUGUGACUGCUCUUCAGUUUAGUUGCAUAGCUUUGCACAAAUUACUUAGAUUGCUUUACACCCUAGCCUUAUAGUAAUAAAGUCGUAUUGUUUUCAAUGUUGUUUAGUGGUGGCUUAAGAAAUCAUCAUAUAUAAACACUGUCAAGUAAAGUAAUAGCUUUGUUCAUGCUCUACUGCAAAAUAAUGUUGUUUUAAGUAGCAUUAGGUACACUUGUUAGAAGAGGAACCAAAGAAAAUUCAUAUGGUUACGUUUUAAAAUUAAAGAAAAUAGAACAUUAUGGGGUGAGAAAUGUGAACAUUUUACUUUGUCUAUGGGCUAAAUGCUAUCCAAAAUGGAAAUUAUGGCCUCUAUGCUGCGCUUGUUUCUUUCGCUGGAGUUUUGUUACAUGCAUUUCUGCCUUUUUCACAAGGGUGAAAACACCAGUGCUCAAAGAACGCCAGAGAGUAUAGUGAAUCAAAUGAUGUAUUCUGACAUAAACUCACGAAUUGGGAGUUGCAUGCCACUGCCUACAAUGCGAAUUGGAACAAUCAUUCACAACAUUGAAUUGAACCCAGGGUAAGGUGGCAAGCUUGUCCGAGCUGCAGGAACUAGUGCAAAGAUCUCGAAAGAGCCCACAUAAGCAUAUUGUUUAAUCCAGAUGUCCUCUGGUGUUAAAAAGUUAAUUGAUUCUCGGUGUAGGGCCACCAUUGGGCUUGUGUCUAAUCCAAGCCAUGGGGAUCACAAGCUUAGGAAGGUCGGACACAGACGAUGGCUUAGUCGAAGACCUGUUGUUCGAGGAGUGGCUAUGAAUCCCGUAGAUCAUCCUCAUGGGGGAGGAGAGGGUAAAAGCAAGAGUGGUGGAAAAUGGGGAAGAGGAUCUCACUCCUUGUGGCAAGCCAACCAAGGGGGGCUAUAAGACUGGACCCCUGAAGCGCAUAGGUUAGUAGUAGUAUAUAUAGCAUUCACUAUAGCUGCUUCUGAUGCUUCCUCACAAGAUGCUUGUAAUAAUUGUAGAAGCUUUCAUUCCUGCUUAGAAAAUUUAUGGAAUUGAUUAGAUUCAAUCAAAGUGUCAAUUUUAUGGGUUCAAAUUUUACUGUUGCUAAAGUAAAAUGCUUUUGCAUUUUCUCUGAACUGGUCUUGAAGUCAACUUAUUACACUUCCAUUGGUUUGGACUAAGUUUGUUGACUUGCUUAAAUGAGACAACGCUUUUUGUUUCUUUUAUCCUUCUGCUUUGUAUUGAUGAGAGGAAAAUAUGUUGAUGCUUUUCCUUUGAUAAUGUUUUCGAGAUAAAGAAAUAAAUUAAUUUUAACACAAAGUGGGAAAGAGGGAGGGAGAAUGAAAGGGAAAGGGAAAGCAACUGAAGAUGCUUGUAACUUCUGUUAUCCUUCUGUUUUAUAUUGACCACUUGUCUUUCUUUUCUUCAAUUCACAGCAAAGUUAGAGAGCGAAAGGGAAAGCAACCGAAUACGCUUGUAACUUCCCUAAUUACAAAUUUACCAUUUUCACUACGAAUCUCGAGGGUUUUAUUGGAAUUGAAAGAUCCCUGAUCGAUUCUGAUUCGGAAAAUGCCUUCUUCAAGUGCAGCCGAUGUUGGAUCCAUCGACCCCACAACUGCAAGAUAAAACACCAAGCAACCCAAGGCUUGAUGUAAUCUUGAAGAUCUGUAUGACCAGAGGUUUGGAGAAGCAAAGUAGCGGAUGCAAUCCAAUGGAACAGUACCAACAAUGUGAUUCCAGUACAGAUCUGGAUUGUUUGCAGAAACGAAACUUGGUGGAGAUAUGGAGGAUGUUGGCAGCAGAGGUUGUGUUUGCAGAGGUUAGAUGAAAUGGAGGAUAGCUUGAAGAGGUGAAUCACAACUCAGAAGGCCCCCACACUAGGAAGGAAGUUGCAAUGGAGAAGCAAGCAUUGAAGUGACUCUCGGACAUGAGAAAGUGUCUAUGCAUUUCAACAGAGUUUCUCUAAUAUCAUCCAAUGUGCUAAAUGUGCUAGCUUCUAGAAACCAUAUGGAGUACACAUUUAUUUUAAUUCUAAUAUAAGAAAGUUCCCGGUGCACCCUCUAUCAAGCUAAUCUCACCCCUGCAUGUGCAUAAAGGUCUCUUUUACCCCUCUCCAUGUUUUUGGGUUGUUCUUUAUUUGGUGGGCUUGGCCCCCGCAUAUCAUCCCCUCCCCCUUGGAAAGGAUUUGUCCUCAAAUCUGAUGGUUCGCCUGAGGACUUAUUUUUGUAGACUUCACUAGAAUUCCUCCAAGGUCAAAUAUCCACCUGCAAUAAGCAUUAAACAUAUCACUAAUUAGUUUUCUAUGACCCAACAAAAUAUAUAAAAGAACAUGUUUAGAAGAAGGUUUCUUAAUUUUAAAAUGUUCAAGUUUAAUACUAUGAAGAAACCUUUCUUCUUUUGAAAUUUUAUUUGUCUCUUGAGUUAGUGGUACCCAUAAAAGUAACCCUAACCCAAGUUGUGAAUUGCCAUGUAUUGAAGGUUUUAUUAUUUUUAAAGAUGGCAUGGNAAAUUCUUGGAGAGAAAAGUGAUAUUUUGGACUUUCAAAANUAAAUGAAGAAAAGUGAAAGGAUAGUAAACCUCCCCUUAAUAGUUUUGAUUCCAUUGUGGUUGGAGGAGAUAUUGCUCUUAGUUGCUUUUGUUCACUUUCUUCCACUUCUUUUCUUUCAAUUUCUUCUUUGUCUUCUCUUUCUUUUUCUUUUAUUCUCUCUUCCUCUUUUCUUCUCUCUUCUUCUCUCUCUUCUUCCUCUCUUUUUCUUCUGUCUUCUUCUAUCUCUUCCUCUCUUUUUCUUCUCUCUAAUUCUAGUCUUCUUUGAUUUUCUUCUUUCAACUUUCUUUCUUUUUCUUUUUCAUCUAUUUCCUUGUUAAGGCGCAUUUGUGCUUGAUCAUCCGCCACUUGUGAUGAUGAGAGAGGAUGAAGUACAAAUUUAUUCUCAUGAUGAUGCACAAUUAUGGUAUUGGUAAGACCAUUAUGAAUUGUUUUAUGAUCAAAUUGCCAUGGUCUUCCCAAUAAAACAUGACAAAUUUCCAUUGGAACUACAUCACAUAAAACUUUGUUUUUAAAAUUGCCAAUGGAAAUUGUUACUGUGACUUGAUCCUUGACUGUGAUAUUCCCAUCUUUAUUGAUCCAAUGUAUUUUAUAAGGUUUAGGAUGGGGUUGUACAACAAGAUUUAAUUUUUCAACUAAUCUAGUGCUACAGCAGUUAGAGCACGAACCACUAUCAACAAUGAGAGAACAAGUGUUACUUUGAAUUUGACAUCUUGUGUGAAAGAGAGUCUCUCUUUGUGAUAGUUGUUCUACACUAGAUUGGUUGUGAAAUAUUUUUUUGAUCAUGAGCAGCUAUCCUUCACAAGGAUAGACUUCCUCAGUAGUGGAUUUUUCUUGAUCACUCUCAUUCUCACUAUUGGAAGAUUCACUACUAUAACUGUCAAUGCCCCUCAAUAUGAUAGUUCUUUUGGUGGGACAUUGUGCAACUAUAUGUCCUCUUCCUAGACAUUUAAAACACUUGAUCUCACUGGUGCGAGUGUGUGAAGAGGAUUCUUGUUUAGGUUUCUCAUCAAUUUUGGCUAGAGGAUUGAAAGGCUCCUUUUCUUUUAAACCUUUUCUUUCAAAAGAAUGUUGAACUUGAGCUCUCUUAAGAGAGGUUUUUCUUAAAUUUUGUUGCUCUACCUUGAUACACAUUUGGACAAGACUAUCUAAAUCUAUAUAAGGUAGUAAUUCAACCUUAUCUCUGAUUUCAUAAUUAAGCCCACUAAAAAAUCUAGCCAUUGUGAGUUCAUCUGUUUCCUCAAUUCUUGCCCUCAUCAUAUACAACUCCAUCUUUUGUCUAUAUUGUUCUACAAACAUAUAAUUUUGUUGUAGUCUUAGGAGUUUAUCCAUAAGCUCUCUAUGGUAAUAUGAUGGAAUAUGUCUCCUCCUAAGGGCAGUGAUCAAGUCAUUCUAAUAUUGUAUUGGAGGAUUUUGGUGGCGCCUUCUUUCUUCCACUAUGGCAGUCCACCAAUACAUGGCAUACCCUUGAAAGCUUAGGGUAGCUAGGGAACCUUACUUUCUUCACUAACUUGGUGGCAAGCAAAAAGUUGCUCCACCUUCAUUUGCCAAUCUAAGAAAGCCUCUACAUCAUCCUUUCCAUGGAAAUGAGGCACGUUAAUAUUGACUUCUCUAGGGUGAGGAGGUUCUUGGAUUUCCCUCCUAUGUCUUCUAAAAGAAGAAUAGUCUCCAUCAUAAUCUCCCAUUCUAAAAUCCUCUACCUCAUGGUGAGAAUCUCCACUCCUACUUCCCCUCAUUCUCCCUUGCUCAUCUCUCAUGACUCUCAACUCAUCUUGAAUUAUGGUGAUUUGCCUUUCCCUAUCUUGUUGAGCAUAAUCCAUCUUUCUUUCAGUGUCGAUUCUCCAUUGAGUUAGCUCUCUAAGUUGUUUUGAAAUAUCUUUGAGAGUAACUUGUUCCUCAGAAUCACUAACUCUUGGAGAUUGAUGCUUUGACAUUUUGUGAUUCUAAAAGUUUUCUUGUGUUACAACUUACUUAGAUUUCACCCAAGAACAAAUUCCAGGUAAGGGAGGUGAACCACUAGGGUUGCUUAAGUACCAAGCCUUGUCCUUGCCAAAAAUGUUCUAGGCUACUUAGUAGUUAUUACUCCAAGAUUACUUCUAAGAUCACAAAAGAAGACUCAAACACAAAGCAAAGAAGUAGGACUCUAAAUUCGGACUCUAGAAGAGAUCCCUAGACGAAAAAUUGAAAACAAAUGGUAAAUUGAAGGAAACUUAAAGACAAUGGAAAUAUAAAAGUGAGGUCUCCUAGGUGAGGCUUAGACUUUGGAUCUAAGACACACUCACCGUCUACCAAUUUUUAGGUUAUGAGACUUUAAGUCAAGUUAGCAAAUGAGGGAAGAACACUUAUGAGCUCUUCCACUUCACUUGCUUGAAAUGGCCCUUUACACACAAAGAACAAAUGAACUUUUACAAGAAAGAACUAUAUGAAAUGAAAAGGAAAUGAAUUGACAAAAGGAGUAAAUGAUGUAUGCAGCUCUAGCUUCUCAAAAACAGUGAGUGAAUUGAUUGAAUUCACACUAAACUCUCAGCUGCAAGGUGAAGAUAACUGUGUAUGGAUGACUCUGCUGCUGUAUGGAUGACAGUACUGUUACUGUUUGAUGUGUCAAACGCUGCUGCAACCUUGUCCGUGAAUCCACUUCAUGACGUUGUCUCUCAAGCACUGAACUCCCUUUGAUGCUUCCUCGUGUAAUGGAUAAUCUGAACUGUAUCACACCUAUUCAAUCAACACAAAUCAUCAAUGCAAUUUACCUCACUGCUGUCAGAGAAUUGCACCCAAAAACCAGUACAGCACAUACCUUUUAUCAAACAGGUUGUGUGCAAGAGUUCCAAAAAAUUUGAAAUCAAGAGAUUAAUCAGGUAGCAAACACGGUAACACUUCAAAAGGAUCCUAAGAAUAGUUCUAAAGUAGAUUGGACCAAAAACAAUGAUUAACAGCCAAUAAAUCGAUCAAAAUAGCAGUGCUCUAGAAAUUUCACAAUCUAUUUGUCAUAAUGCCUCAAAGAACAGUGAAUUUGGAUGCAGAAAUUGGUCAAUCAGUCUCGGCAGUUUUUCAUUUUAUUGGAUGCAAUGGUUCUUUCAGCUUUUUAAUGUGUCUAUCUUAUUGUUUGGACAAUCUUGAAUGCAUUUUUUUUAAUGGAACCAAGCUUUUACUACAUCCAUGAGUACUGACCAAUCACCACAUUCAAUCUAAAUUUUGAAAAAAAGAAAAGUACUGCACUGCUACAGAUUUAACCAGAAUUUACCCAAAAUUUGGCAAGUCCUAUAGGCAUUUUGCAUAUAACAGCAACUACUCAUCUUAAACUGAUGCAAACAUGUUUGAAUGAUUAAAACAAACUUGUUUGAACACAAAUUCUGCUAAAAUUCAAGGUGUAACAAAAAUUGAGUAGGUUUGUGCUACUGCAAGCUAUUUGAAGCAACUAGGAUAGCCAAAUUUUGCAAACCAUGGUAAUUCAGUUUGAACACAACAGAAAUGAACUCAAUACAACCAAAGAAAAUUUCUCAAAAUGGCAGAAGUAUCAAUUAGAUGAUUGGCAAUGAUCUAGUGCUCAAUCCAAAACCACACGCAGAAUUAACUCAAUCAACAAUUGCAGCUCGGUUUAUUGCUAAUGUAAUUUAAGUUGGAACUUUCCAGCAAUGUCACCAGGCGAAUUGCAGAGCAAUAUCAUGCUCCUUUGGUGCUUAUUCUAGAUCAGCAUCAUGACAACUUCAAAAUAGCAACACAGACCAGAUUUAGUCAAGAAAACUCAUGACUGAUUGCUGGAACAAAAUCAACGCAACACGCUGCACAAUUUUAGCAAAGAAAUCUGAUUGAAUGACACCAAAUCAUGCACCUGAGCUAUUCAUAGAUAUGGUCAUGGCUCUUUGAUAGUGCAGAGUAUAUCAUUUUCCAAUCAAAAUUUCACAGGUGCAGCCACGUAAAACCAGAUUUGAAAGACAUUUUUAAGCAACUAUACAUGACUUAUGACACAACCAUAUAUGAUGCUCAAAUUAAAGACUCAAACAACAACAUUAACCGAUUAAAAUGCAAAGGACUCAAGCAAAAACGCAGCUAGCACAGAAAAAGACUCAAACAGAACCUAAAUCAAGAUCAAAUGAAUGGAACAGAUGGAAAACAGAUUCAAAGACAUUGCAGAAUUUGUUGACAGUACGGAAAUAGAAGAAUGACACUUAUCUCACGGUGUAGCUUGAACCUUGCUCUGAAUACCACUUGAUACAUCAAGGCUUGAUGUAAUCUUGAAGAUCCGUGUGACCAGAGGUUUGGAGAAGCAAAGUAGCGGAUGCAAUCCAAUGGAACAAUACUAGCAAUGUGAUUCCAGUACAGAUCUGGAUUGUUUGCAGAAACGAAACUUGGUNNNNNNNNNNNNNNNNNNNNNNNNNNNNNNNNNNNNNNNNNNNNNNNNNNNNNNNNNNNNNNNNNNNNNNNNNNNNNNNNNNNNNNNNNNNNNNNNNNNNNNNNNNNNNNNNNNNNNNNNNNNNNNNNNNNNNNNNNNNNNNNNNACAACUCAGAAGGCCCCCACACUAGGAAGGAAGUUGCAAUGGAGAAGCAAGCCUUGAAGUGACUCUCGGACAUGAAAAAGUGUCUAUGCAUUUCAGCAGAGUUUCUCUAAUAUCAUCCAAAAGUGAAUACAUGGGUAGCCAAGGUGAGUUUUAUAGACUCCUCAACCUUUGGCUUGGUGAUGAAAAACGUGUUCAUCUAAGAUGGAUCACGUUCCAAAUUUAUAAAACAUGUGCUAAAUGUGCUAGCUUCUAGAAACCAUAUGGAGUACAUGUUUAUUCUAUUUCUAAUAUAAGAAAGUUCCCGGUGCACCCCCUAUCAAGCUAAUCUCACCCUUGCAUGUGCAUAAAGGUCUCUUUUACCCCUCUCCAUGUUUUUGGAUUGUUCUUUAUUUGGUGGGCUUGGGCCCCGCGUAUCAUUUUCAGUGACCCUUUUCUCUAUUUUUGGUUUGUGGUAGAACUUUCGUAUUUGUUUUUGUUUGAGUUAAAUUGAGUAUGUGUUAGGGGAAAAAAGGGUUUUGGGUUUUAUUUAGGUGCUUAUGAAAGGUGUGUCGCUUGUGAUAGUUCCCGUGAUAGUAUUUAGUGCCUGAUUGUUCCUAGAUUGAUAUAACCUUUGAUGGAGUUCUAUUUCAUGAAGAUACGAUACUUUGUGGAAGCUAAUGUCCAUUUUUUUUUAUUUGAUUUGAUUUUCGGGUGUCGGUAUUUGUGUUCCAAGAGGCUUCUGAUGUGAAUCGGUGUUUGUGACUUAAUGGAGGAGUUUCAUGUAGUUGGAUAGUGUGUGAUGAUUUGACAAUAGUUUUUUUUGUUUCUUUUUGCUCUUUUAGGUAGCAACAGGAAAUUGAACUGAUUAGAGCUCUUUUUGAAAAUAUAAUGCCUUUCAGAUUCAAAGUUUACCUAGCAAGAACUUCCAGCGUGUAAGCCAAUUCUCACUCCACGAGCGGUAACACUAACCACUACGUUUUUUUAAUUCACUGCUUGUGACUAUAUGUGUACUGAAAUGCAUUUGAUUCCUUUUCUGUUGUCGUGAUAUUUCUGGUACUCAACAUUGUAUUCGUUCCAAUUGGAGUUGCUUCGCUAAUUGCUUCGAGGAAGGUUAUGUUGAGUGCUGUAAAUUUGGUGACCUUCUGCUCAUAGUUGUAUAUAAUGCUGAGUUCAACUUUCAUUUUCUUGUAUAUGUCAGGUUGUUGAAAUUGUUUUUAGGUAUGAAUCAACGUGCAUACCAAAUAAUGUUACUGACAAGGUAGCAUACAUUCAAAGUUCUGCGAGUAAAGCAUGCAACAUAACACUACAUGUAAAUCUCCUUCCCACCUAUUUAUCCAUUUCAUUUAACUCAAAUCUUUCUAUUAAAUCUGUUCCCAUGAUUUACAAUGUUAGCAAAAAGUUAAAGAUGGAGUUUUGAUGAUGUACAAAUUUGCACAAUACAAGAUCCAAGAAGACUAUUUGAAGAUUCAUUAUUGUUGAAAGCUUUUGUAAUAAUCAUAGUUGAUGUGCUUUUGCUUAGAUAUGUAAUAAGGUUUGAUUCAUGUACUCUAUAUGUGAUUAAUUUCUAUUUAGAAUCAAACACAAGUUGUUUUAAUCGAUUAAACCAAGUUAUAAUUGAUUAAAACGAGGUUGGCACUACAAAC
rnacentral:lncRNA from 1 species